UGCAAGACAGACAAUGCAGGGCCAUCACGA
rnacentral:piRNA from 1 species